rnacentral:lncRNA from 1 species
CAAUGGUGUCAGUGACAGUGAUGGUGAUGGUCUUGCUCGCGCUAUUGCCGCUUUUGUCAGUGGCCGUGCAGGUGGCUACGGUGGUGCCGACGGGGUAGACGCCAGAGGUGGAGGGGGCCGCGGGGGAGUAGGUGGUGACAACGUUGAGGUUCGUGUCCACGUUGUCAGUGGCGGUGCAUGUGAAGGAGAUGCCGUCGGCGCCGCCAAGCGUGUUGCCCUCCUUGGUGAUGGCGUUGGUGCUGGAACUGACCGUUGGGGCUGUGUUAUCUGUGGGACAUGCAGGGUGGGGGGGAUUACACGAAUGCGUUUGCAUGUGCGUAAUUGGUGAUUACUAUGUAGCAGAAGCAAGCAAGUGUUCUUCCAAGGUCGGAGCCGCAACAUGCGAAGCCAGUAGGAUCCAUGCCCCGCCGUGCCCCGCCCUGCCUCACUCCGUUCCCCGCGCCCCGCCCCACUGCCACCCAACCCGACCCGACCCGAUCCAACCCAACCCAAGCAACCCGCCAAGACCCGACCCGACCUACAGCAACCCUUGCCCACCCUACCCUCCCCUCCCCGACCCACGUCUCACCGAGAACGACCACAGCGAAUGUCGCGGUGCCGGUAUUGGUUCCGUCAGACGCGGUGCAGGUGACAGUGGUGCUGCCAAAUGGGAAAGAGUCACCAGAGGCAUAGUCACACGAGGGCGUCACGGCACCAACCACGAUGUCAGUGGCGGUGACGGCCGACCAGGUGACAGCAGCAGUGCCGCUGGCCGAAGCGUACACGGACGCCGGCGAGGGGACCGUAAUGGCCGGCGCAAUGGUGUCAGUGACAGUAAUGGUGAUGGUCUUGCUCGCGCUAUUGCCGCUUUUGUCAGUGGCCGUGCAGGUGGCUACGGUGGUGCCGACGGGGUAGACGCCAGAGGUGGAGGGGGCCGCGGGGGAGUAGGUGGUGACAACGUUGAGGUUCGUGUCCACGUUGUCAGUGGCGGUGCAUGUGAAGGAGAUGCCGUCGGCGCCGCCAAGCGUGUUGCCCUCCUUGGUGAUGGCGUUGGUGCUGGUGCUGACGUCUGGAGCUGUGUUAUCUGUGGGCGGACAUGCAGGGUGGGGGGGAUUACACGAAUGCGUUUGCAUGUGCGUAAUUGAUGAUUACUAUGUAGCAGAAGCAAGCAAGUGUUCUUCCAAGGUCGGAGCCGCAACAUGCGAAGCCAGUAGGAUCCAUGCCCCGCCGUGCCCCGCCCUGCCUCACUCCGUUCCCCGCGCCCCGCCCCACUGCCACCCAACCCGACCCGACCCGAUCCAACCCGACUCAACCCCACCCAACCCAACCCAAGCAACCCGCCAAGACCCGACCCGACCUACAGCAACCCUUGCCCACCCUACCCUCCCCUCCCCGACCCACGUCUCACCGAGAACGACCACAGCGAAUGUCGCGGUGCCGGUAUUGGUUCCGUCAGACGCGGUGCAGGUGACAGUGGUGCUGCCAAAUGGGAAAGAGUCACCAGAGGCAUAGUCACACGAGGGCGUCACGGCACCAACCACGAUGUCAGUGGCGGUGACGGCCGACCAGGUGACAGCAGCAGUGCCGCUGGCCGAAGCGUACACGGACGCCGGCGAGGGGACCGUAAUGGCCGGCGCAAUGGUGUCAGUGACAGUAAUGGUGAUGGUCUUGCUCGCGCUAUUGCCGCUUUUGUCAGUGGCCGUGCAGGUGGCUACGGUGGUGCCGACGGGGUAGACGCCAGAGGUGGAGGGGGCCGCGGGGGAGUAGGUGGUGACAACGUUGAGGUUCGUGUCCACGUUGUCAGUGGCGGUGCAUGUGAAGGAGAUGCCGUCGGCG